rnacentral:rRNA from 1 species
AGCGAACGCUGGCGGCAGGCUUAACACAUGCAAGUCGAGCGGGCGUAGCAAUACGUCAGCGGCAGACGGGUGAGUAACGCGUGGGAACGUACCUUUUGGUUCGGAACAACACAGGGAAACUUGUGCUAAUACCGGAUAAGCCCUUACGGGGAAGAUUUAUCGCCGAAAGAUCGGCCCGCGUCUGAUUAGCUAGUUGGUGAGGUAAUGGCUCACCAAGGCGACGAUCAGUAGCNGGUCUGAGAGGAUGAUCAGCCACAUUGGGACUGAGACACGGCCCAAACUCCUACGGGAGGCAGCAGUGGGGAAUAUUGGACAAUGGGCGCAAGCCUGAUCCAGCCAUGCCGCGUGAGUGAUGAAGGCCCUAGGGUUGUAAAGCUCUUUGUGCGGGAAGAUAAUGACGGUACCGCAAGAAUAACGCCCCGGCUAACUUCGUGCCAGCCGCCGCCGUAAC